rnacentral:rRNA from 1 species
GACGAACGCUGGCGGCGUGCUUAACACAUGCAAGUCGAACGGAAAGGCCCCGUUGGCAGUGUACGCGUGUGGCGCACGGGAGUGUCACGUGAGGGAGCUGUCCCUUGCACCUGGGGAAAAUCAGGGAAAUGGGGGUCAUACAGGGGAGAGGUGCUAGCUGCAGGGUGGGGGUUGGAAAGCUUUUGCGGUGUUGGAUGGGCUCGCGGCCUAUCAGCUUGUUGGUGGGGUAGUGGCUUACCAAGGCGGCGACGGGUAGCCGGCCUGAGAGGGCGACCGGCCACAUUGGGACUGAGAUACGGCCCAGACUCCUACGGGAGGCAGCAGUGGGGAAUAUUGCACAAUGGGCGCAAGCCUGAUGCAGCGACGCCGCGUGCGGGAUGACGGCCUUCGGGUUGUAAACCGCUUUCGGCAGGGACGAAGCUUUUUGUGACGGUACCUAGAGAAGAAGCACCGGCUAACUACGUG